CGUGGGGGGCGGGUCACAGAACCUCUGGGCGCGGGGGGAUGACGUCACGUCGGCGACGGGGCUUCGGUUGAAAACCGGCCGUCCCUGCUGACUUGAAGACCGCGUAGCUGGGACGGCGCUACGAUGACCAUUUGCCAGUUUUUCCUUCAGGGCCGGUGCCGCUUCGGAGACCGCUGCUGGAACGAGCACCCUGGCACCCGGGGCGCGGGCGUGGCCCGGCAGCCGCCACCACAGCAGCCGCCGCCGCCCUCAGGAAGCAACAGGCGCGGGUGGAAUGCCACCAGCCAGAGGUACUCCAAUGUCAUCCAGCCAUCCAGCUUCUCCAAGUCUACGCCAUGGGGUGGCAGCAGAGAUCAAGACAAACCAGUAUUCGGCUCCUUUGACUCUGGCGCUUCCACCAGCAGAGGCUUUGGAUCAUCUCAAAACCCUUUUGCAUCACCUGUCUCUGAUGAGCAGAAAGAUGAAAAAAAACUUCUGGAAGGAAUUGUUAAAGAUGUAGAGAUUUGGGAAUCAUCGGGGCAGUGGAUGUUUUCUGUUUACUCACCAGUGAAAAAGAAACCUAACAUCUCAGGUUUCACAGACAUUUCACCAGAAGAGUUGAGGCUUGAAUACCAAAACUUCUUAACCAGCAAUAACUUACAGAGCUAUCUAAAUUCUGUUCAACAGCUAGUAAGUCUAUGGAGGAAUAGGAUAAAUGAACUGAAAAAUCUAAAUAUGUCAACCAAAGGAACUCUGCUCUCUGAUGUCAAGGAUGGAGCCAGUCAAGCAGCGCCUGCAUUUGGAUUUGGAAGCAAGCAAGCAGGGACGUUUGGGUCAUCAGGUUUUCCAGUGGAUAACAGCAGCAGCAGCAAUGUUCAGAACUUUAGUUUUAAAACAAGCUCUGGAUUUGCCACUGCCCUUUCAGGAAGCACGCCCGUGUUUGGAAAUCACCCAGCCUUUGGGACCGGGCCCUCUGCUGGUUCUGCAGUCGCUUCCUCCACUCCAGCCUUUGGAUUUGGGAAACCUGAAGCCACAUCUGCUGCUUCAUUUUCGUUCAAGAGCCCUGACACUUCUGGUUUUGGAUCACCUGGGUUUUCAGGGUUUCCAUCUUCCUUAGCAGUGAGUCCUUUCGGCCCUGCAAUGGCCCCUGCCUUUGGAAGUGGCGGAUCUGUGGCUGGUUUUGGUAGCCCUGGCUCACAGUCUCAGACUUUAUUUGCCAAACCUUCUAAUGACACAUUUGGAGGUAGCAGCCUAUCAGCCUCCCUCCCGGUCUCUGCCACAAAUAAUGUACUGUUUACCCCCAGGGAUCAGCUGACAAAAGAGGAGCUGGAACAAUUUCAGUCCCAGAGAUUUACUCUGGGGAAAAUCCCACUGAAGCCACCACCCGUGGAGCUCCUGACUAUAUAAAGGGCGGUGUCCAAUACAGAACGGCUUUAGCCAGGCGUGUGGCGUAUGCCGGUAGUUUGGGAGGCUGAGAGAAGAAAUGCCACAAAUUCAGGGCCAGCUUGGACUGCACAGAGGAUGCGGAGAGUGGAUGCUGGAGAUCAAACCCAGGUGUGAGCUGCCAUACCACUCCCCACCAUGAUAGCCUGAAAACUGAAGCUGUGAGUCAGCCAGCCUUGCCUUAAGCUGCUGAAGCUGACACCUCACCACGGCACCGGAUGAGGACCACUGUAGCCAGCCCUACGUGGAUGCUGCCCUGAGCGCAUCAGAGCUAGAGAAGAGCACUGUCGGAAGAGCACUGGGAACAGCAUUGCCAACACCCUGAGGUUGCCUCUGCUGUGCGAGCAGUUUCGCAGUGUCUGAUACUGCUGGACCUACAAGCCCGGCACCGGCCCAGGGGUGGAGUUCACAAGACAGGCCAGGGAGGGGAACUUUACAGGGAGAAAUACCACCUUAGGCGGCUCAGUGGUCGGGAGAACGGCGGCAGGGCUUGACUUCCGGAACUCCAGCUUUCUCAGUGGCCACAGAGCUAACUAUCCAAAGCUGAGACCCAAAUAAGCUGCCACAGGGAGAGGAAAACUCAGGAUGGGGAGAAAGGCCACCGGCAUGAUUCUGCUAUCUCUGGCCUCGCGUACUUCUUUGUCCAGGGUAGAGACCACAGCCAUCAAUACCUGCUCUUUAUCACCUCUGAGACUUGAACUCUGACUCCGCUUCCUCCAAACCUAGCCCACCUGCAGCCCUCUUGACACAAAGUUCCACCCAGUCUUGACACCACCUCCUGUUCCAAACACAGUGCUCACCCGGCCCCACCGUCUCCUGUGUGAGAAAUAUCCCCAGAUCCAAACUUACAUGCUGCUAAUACCUGUCAGCAGUCGUCCCUCUUUCCAAGCCUUCCACAGAGUGUUCACUCAGGCUGCAGAAUCUCCUUCCAGGAAGACACCAGUGCCGACCUCAUUGUCCAGAGCGUACCCUCAUUCUGCUUCUUUCGGGACACUCUUCUCUUAAACCCAGUGGAACCACCACCAGAGCCGGUGCCGCUCCACCCACAGCGUGUCCACAGGAGCCCUGCCGCCAACAGUCCCCUCUGCAGCCUGGGCAGCUGCUGGCCACUUGGGACACAGAGAUGGGGCUGCUUUUCCCAGAGCUCCGGCGUCAGGACACAGCGAUCAGGGUUUUCACGCCUUCACGUGGAGUCACUGGUGUUUUUAACUUUUUUAUGAUGUAUGUUUUACCUGCCUGUAUUUAGGUGUCUCACACAUGUACAUACAUGUAUUUUGCACCACAUAUGUAUGUGUGACGUGUGCUUGGUGCCCAUGGAGGUCAGAGGAGGGCAUCGGGGACCCCUGGAACUGGAGUUACAGAUGGCUGUGAGCCACCACAUGAAUACUGGGAAUUGAUCCUAGCCCCCCGAAAGGCAACAAGUGUUCUUAACUGCCACACCAUCACUCAAACCCCAUUUUUAAAUUCCUUUAUUUUUUGUGGGGGGUGUUUUGCCUGUAUGUAUGGCCAUGCAGUAGGUGCGUACAGUGCCAUUGGAGACCAGAAGGCAUCAGAUCCAGGGGACUGGAGGUGCAGAUAGUUAUGAGCUGCCAUAUGAUUAUUGGGGAUUGGACAUGGGUCCUCCGGAAGAGCCCCUGGAGUAGCUGUUUUAAAGGUCACCUGUGUUCCUCAGUUAACGGCUUGCUGUUUUUUUCCAUUGGUUGUACAUUUUUAUGGAUUGACUACCAUUUUAUUUAGCUACUCAUUUUUGGAUAGACGGUGGAUUGUUUCCAAGUUUAUGCAUUUUUUUUAUUUUUUAUCUUAUGUGUAUGAGCGUUCUUUCUGCAGGUAUGGAUGUGCACCUUGUGCAUGCCUCAUGGCCUCAGGAGUCAGGAGAGGGGAUCAGAUCCCUUGGUACUAGAGUUGUGGAUGGCUGUGAGCCACCAUGUGAGUGCUGGGAACCCAUCCUCUGCAAGAGAAACCAGUUGUCAGCCUCUAAGCCGUCUCCCCAGCCCCGGGGUUCAGCAUUUUCUAAUAAACAGAUACAGACAUCA